CGUCGCUGCGCAGGUGGGAGCGCAAAGGAAAGCACCGAGACGUGCGAGAGGCCAGGCGCGCUCCUCUCCGCGCGGUCGGAGCCGGGGGCUGAAGACCACUCGGCAGAGAGCCCCGCGGCAUCGGGGGCACCGUACUCUUUUGUUUGUUUGUCGUCGUUGUUGUGUAUUUCCUAAAGAACAAAACACAGACCCGAAGCGUACCCCGGGGAUUAACGUGUGAGCAAAAUUGCCUGCGUUUAUCGACAGCGUAUCUUAACCGAUGCCACCUCGUAGCGCUGUAAAUAAAAAGUCUGCAUAAUACCGUGAAGAUUCCAUCUUUUAGAGUACUCGGAAUCUGAUGUGUUUGAGUUCUGUCCCAAAAAACCUCUCGGAGAAUCAGACAGCUUGUGAAUGCAGCAGCUUGGAAUUCAGGUCUUCCUGCGCAGGUCCUCCCCUGCUCCUUUCCAGAGCUUUAAGGACACUGACCCUGCCUCCAAACCCAGGAGAUCUGCCUCUUAAACGCUACUGGCACAGCCGGCACGGGGAGCAGGAGGGGUUCGCAUUGACAGGAUUCCAGGCAAAAGCCGGAGUUAAAGAGCACAGCGGCCCCUUCCUCCUUGGUUCUCAUCUAUUUAAAACUGCUCUAAAAUAGAUCUUUUAAAUAGAUGAGAGACGGGAGCUUUCUGUAGCUGCAGAGUAAGGGAGCCACAUCGACAACAAAGGCUCCCGCCUCUGUGCCUCAGUGCCCUGAGCUCAAACCGCUGCUCGAGGAGAAAAUGGCACCGGGGGCUCAAAAAUCCCCACGGGGCUACACUGGAGCCUGAGCUCCAGAGGUUCGGAAGGAAACUGAAGAAGAAGUAGAUCCACCUUGAAAAUAACUCAGAAAUGAGCUGCUGAGACCGCUGGCUCCUCCCUCGGCGAAUGUGUACGUCUGCGGUGUUGUCUUUAACACCCCGAUCAGCUGAACUGCUCACUCUUCCAACGGAUGAUUACUGUCAAUCCUAAGCACGCCAAAUAUUUUUACAGUGUUUGGGGAACCAAAAAAAAAAAAUACCUUGAAACCAGAGAAGUGGUGAGAAGACUGAGUGAGCGGCGUGACACUGAUGUGGUGCUCGGGAUUGCUGCUCUGCACAAGGCCGCUGUCCUUCAGAAGUUUUCCGGCAUGAGAUCACGACUACUUGUGUGGCUGGGUUUGUUGUACAGAGGGCAAAAGCUGCAUCAUUCCACAGCAGGAGCCGAGUGCUUUUAAGAAAUGUUGGCUUUAAGUCACGUCACGCAGAGGGCAAGGGCGGUGUAUCACCGGCUACUGUGCAGCAAAUGGUGAGGGACCGCAAGAGAAACAGAUCCACGAAGGUGGAUGCCUUGCAAACAGUGAUCCGGGUUCAGAAACGCUACUGAAAAAAUUGAUACUGUAAGGGUAAUACAGUGACCCUCAACUUAGCCACAGAGGCUGCUCAGGAGAGGCUAUCUCUAGGUGUGAGCUGAGGAAGCACCUGCCAACAGGCUGCUUUGGUCAGGAAAAUCCUCCGGCACAUUGGAUAUACCUACCUGAUCGGAAUGCUCAGAAGGCUUCACAGCAGACAACGAAGAAAAAAAAUGCUUUGGUUAUCACAGAAGAACUUUGUGGAGGGUGAGAGGAAAGAAAGAAAUUGCCUACGAACAGACACUGGAGAGUGUUUUCUUCAGAGGACUACAGCUCCCAGAUGCUUCUGCUCCUUUCUGCUGCUCUAAGUUCUGCAGUUACUCAUCACUUGACUCUAAGCGGUUCCAGUCUGUUAUUCUGUAUCACAAUACAUGUUGAAUUGGUGGCAUCACAUUCCAUUCCAGCAAAAGUGACUGAAAACCCUUCCUGUCUCAUAGGCAGUGGGUGUUCUACUUUUCUUUCAAGUCCCCCUUUCUUUUCCCCUUCUCCCUCUGCCUCUCUUCACUCCACCAUGCAGUCACCACUUCUGCCAUCCCUGAGCAGCCAUGCAAGACAAGCACAAACUGUCUGGAGGGCUGAAAAUGGAAGACGCAGCAGAUGGAAACACCAAAAUCAUCCUUUUCUGUAGGCUCUCUGAAAGCAGAGAUGCAAGAGAAUUUUGUACACUGCUUUUUUGGUUUUCUUUUUCUUUUUUUUUUUCUUUUUGUGACUUGACACAGAUAUACCUGCUCGAUCUGGAUGCUCAGAAGGCUCCACAGCAGACAAUGAAGAAAACACGUAGCUGUAGAUGUCCCUGUUUAUUGCAGGGCAGUUGGACUAGAUAAACUUUAAAGGUCCCUUCCAACGUAAACAAUUCUACGAUUGUAUGACUUCUGAGAUUUCUAACUGAUUUUAAAACUUUAAGUGAUCUUUAUGCUGUUAGUAAAUUCUUUUAAAAUGAUAAGGAAGUAGUGCUACAUAAAGUGAAACUGUCAAAGACUUUACACAUUGAUUUGGCAAGCUAGGAUUGUCAGCAGUACUCACCUGUAUGUCACAACCAGGGACAUCUGUUAGAAAGAGAGGUGCCACCGCUGUGUUAACUCACACAUAGAUGACUGUAUCACCAAGGAGGCUGUGCAGCCUGAGACCUGCCACAGUCAUGCUGGGCUGAAGUGAGAUUUUUGUUGAAAAGAAGAUAAUGGGUGGUUCUGGGCACCACUGAGGCAUAUGCAGGGCAGUAAAGUAGACAAUGGCAAUCUUAGAGACCCAGAGAUGCAACAGACCAUCCAUCUCUGGUCAUUUCUGUCACAUGAAAAAGCAAACUUAAGUAAUCUCUGAAUUUUCUGAGCAUGGACAGCAUCUCAGAAAAAAUCACAAAUGCUGAACAAUUCUGAAGUAUGUUUUAACUCUGUUGGAUUUCUGAUCAAGAAUUGAAGUACAAAGAUACAUUGCUAGUAAGUAAAAUGCUUGCUGUUAUAUCUCUGCGUCUAUUUCGUACAUUAGAACUUGGAUUUUCCUCAAGCAUGUCUUAAAUCUAGAAGGAAGGAUCCAUUUUUACUGUAAUCAAUUACUCACCUGAUUUACAUUCCAUGUUGGUUAGAAUUCAAGGAGUGAUGGAGCCCUAUGUCCCCAGCUGGCUCAUGCUUACUAUAGACAAGUGAUCACAUUUGGUCCUUGUCAGGCUUAAGAAUUCAGUUAUCCAAAAUUCAGUCAUGACAAUUCAUUUCAAACAGCAGUUAUAGCUACACUUUAAUCAGAACUGGCAAUGGAAGCAACAUAUUUUCUGACUGUACAAUUACUGAUCACUUUAGGCCUAUGUAAAGCAGGAAAAUAAAUUAAUUACAAAUUUGCUUCAGAAUACUACACCAAAGAUUUAAUAUAAACUGAUUUUUCCCAUUUGCCGGAUGUUAACAGGAUCGCUGGUGAAUUUGCACAGGUGAUUAAGCUCUUUGAGGGUAAAUCUUAUAAGAAAAAUAUUUUAAAAUAUGAUUUAUUAUUUUUAACUACUUCAAUUGAAAGCAAUAAAAUUCUCUGCUCGGUGCUUAA
rnacentral:lncRNA from 1 species